GACAUGAUGAUCUUAGUUCUUUUCCAACCUUGACAAUUCCAUGAUUCCAAGACAAGGUUUGAAUUUGGAGUGGUCUUGCUUGGAGCCAGGAAUGUGACUUGAUGUUCCUUGGCAUUCCCUUCUGUUUUGGGAUAUUCUAUGAUGUGUGAUUCUCUGAUUCUCUGAUCAACAGCUGAGUAUUGCAGAGAGCUUACACCAAAACCUUGCCAAGCAAACCUAGAGCUUGUCUUGAGUGCCCAGAAGAAUUUUUCUGCUUGCGAAUACUGGGUGCAGCUCAGCCUUGGGCAGCCAUGGCAGCCACUGUGAAUCAAAGUGAUGUCAGCAUCACAUCACAGUCAUUGCCCUGAUGUAGUGGGCUUCAGGUCUCUCUUUGCCUGCACGGCAGAGAGCAAGCAGCUGAAGAGCGUGGCAGUUGAGCUGCGAGAAGGAGAAGGGAGAGGACGACUGCCACUGAGCCCAGACCUGUGAAGAUGCUCAGGCUGCUAGUCAAGUGGUUCCUCAUCGUUCAGCUGCAGACAGUCAUGCAAAUGCUGGGCUUCCACACUUUUCAGAGGCAAUUCUGUUCUUCAGUUCUGGUAGUUGCCUUGUCCUGGCGGAGGCUGGUGCCGCAGAGGAGCGCUGUGAGAAGGAGCUUGCGGAGAAGCACGGUCCAGAAGGGAACUGUGCAGAAGCCCGUGAGGAGGUCGAUGAGGAUUGCGAGAAAUCAAGAGAGAUUGAGACAGCAGAUUCUGCACCGUUGGCUGCCCUGUGGCUGCAGGUUGCAUGUGGUGGAUAGAAGAGACUGCAUCCUAUGUGGGCAGCAGCAUCCCCUCUCCCUGCUGCCAGCCCAGCGGUCAUGUGCACUGCGCAGUGUGAGGCGUGUCCAUUUUGGGGACAAUAAUGGAAGAUAAUGUAUAGAGAGAGGAACGGCUGUAAGCAGCAGGUCAGCGGUGAGCCCAGACUUCACAGGAUAAAACACAAAACAUCUCCCUAAAAAACAUCUCACCUAAAAA